GGAGGGUACUACUACGUGGGUGGUAACUGGUCUUGAAAACCAGGGCGGCCUAGCGGCUGGGCGUUCGACUCGUCUACCCUCCGCCA
rnacentral:tRNA from 1 species